rnacentral:lncRNA from 1 species
GCCAGAUGCCUUUUUAGGUUAUUGAAUGAUAAAGUGCUUCUAUCACUCUCCCCACCCAAAACCUGGGUGUGUAAACACCUGAUUCAGAAUUUCUCACUUCUCUAUGUUUUAUGGGUUGACUCAUCACUUGGGUCCUCUCCUACCUCCAGGAAAAUGGUUUUACUUUGAACUGCUUUGUAAUACCGAGAUAACUUAAGCAUGCAUUGAGGCUCAAGGGCAGGGAGGUGGAUUCCAUCACAGCAUGAAAUACUGAAAUACAACUACACAAAACCAGUCUCCAUUACCCAAUUCAGAAAGUGGAAAAGCUAAGCCUUGUUCUAAUUUCUGUUCAGGUACUACUUAGUGGGCGUGCAGGAGCAGCAAUGCGUUGAUGGGGAGUGGAGCAGUGCACUUCCAGUCUGCAAGUUGAUCCAGGAAGCUCCCAAACCAGAGUGUGAGAAGGCACUUCUUGCCUUUCAGGAGAGUAAGAACCUCUGCGAAGCCAUGGAGAACUUUAUGCAACAAUUAAAGGAAAGUGGCAUGACAAUGGAGGAGCUAAAAUAUUCUCUGGAGCUGAAGAAAGCUGAGUUGAAGGCAAAAUUGUUGUAACACUACAGCUGAGCAGAUGUAAUAGAAAUAAACCUAUGAAUAAAUUUUCUUCUUGGUUCUGAAA